AUGAAUGAAAAUCAUGAACCCCAAAAACCCAACUCCAAGAAACCCCCAUUGUCCCAAAUUGGAUUUUUCUCAGAUCUCCUCCACUCCAUGAGGGAAAAAUCCAAGUCCAGCAAACCCCUGUUAUCUCCAAAUUGGAUUUUUUCAGCUCUAUUCCAUGGCAUGAAUGAAAAUUAUGAACCCCAAAAACCCAACUCCAGGAAAACUCCCACUGUCCUAAAUUGGAUUUUUCUCAGAUCUCCUCCACGGGAUGAGCAAAAAACCCAAGUCCAGGAAACCCCCAGUGUCCCAAGUUGGAUUAUUUUGGAUCUCUUCCAUGUCAUGAGCAAAAACCCCAACUCCACAAAACUCCCCUCCAUCCCAAGGUGGAUUUUUCUCGAUCUCCUCCACUCCAUGAGGGAAAAAUCCAAGUCCAGGAAACCCCCAGUGUCCCAUGUUGGAUUUUUGGAUCUUUUGUGGAUGUUGGAUUUUUUUGGAUCUCCACUCCAUGACCAAUAAUCAAAACCCCAAAAUCCCAAAUCCAGAAAACUCCCAUUGUCCUAAAUUGGAUUUUUUUCAGAUCUCCUCCAUGAGCAAAAAUCACAACCCCAAAAAGCAAAUCCAGAAAACCCCCAUUGUCCCAAGGUGAAUUUUUCUCAGAUCUCCUCCAUGGCAUGAAUGAAAAUCAUGAACCCCAAAAUCCCAACUCCAGAAAACCCCCAUUGUCCUAAAUUGGAUUUUUCUCAGAUCUCCUCCACUCCAUGAGGGAAAAACCCAAGUCCAGCAAACCCCUGUUAUCUCCAAACUGCAUUUUUUUUGGGUCUCCUCCAUGAGCAAAAAUCACAACCCCAAAAAGCAAAUCCAGGAAACCCCUAUUGUCCCAAGGUGAAUUUUUUUCAGAUCUCCUCCAUGGCAUGAAUGAAAAUCAUGAACCCCAAAAACCCAACUCCAGAAAACUCCCACUGUCCCAAAUUGGAUUUUUCUCAGAUCUCCUCCACUCCAUGAGGGAAAAACCCAAGUCCAGGAAACCCCUGUUAUCUCCAAAUUGGAUUUUUUUUGGGUCUCCUCCAUGAGCAGAAAUCACAACCCCAAAAUCCCAACUCCAGAAAACUCCCAUUGUCCUAAAUUGGAUUUUUCUCAGAUCUCCUCCACUCCAUGAGGGAAAAACCCAAGUCCAGCAAACCCCUGUUAUCUCCAAAUU
rnacentral:lncRNA from 1 species